CCCAUCUCUCUGGAGGAGGAGAGGGGAGCACCGGGGCGCCCUCUGCAGACAGAGGAGUGCGUGGGCAGCAGCUUUGCUCUAUGCCAAGCCAUCACACAGAAGACCCUCCUGGCUAUAAGUGUCCUGCCAGGAAGUUCUGGCAUGCUGAAGGAUAUGAAAUCAGUUUAGUACCAGAAUAUUCUGUCAUCUACAAAAGAAACUCUACCCAUUUGCAGUCAUUCCCCC